rnacentral:lncRNA from 1 species
GUACUAUUCAAAAAAGGAUGCAAUGGAGAACAUUUACAGAGGACUGUGGGUAAAGCAAAGUCUUCAAGGGAAGAUAACAAAGGAUGAAACAAUGGUGUUGUGUGACUUCCUAGUGUGAAUCAUGGCAAUACAGUGAAAGACAGUGAUUUACUGCUUUUGAGGGCGUGCAUGUAUAUGAUUAACGGAUGGAAGUGCAGGACUCCAAGAUUUACUUCCUUCCCUUUCCAGCAGAAUUACCUGAGACGAGUAAAAUCUACUGGUGGAGUCACUCCAUUAUUCUUAUCUGUGGAGAUCUAGAUCUUGAUUUGAAAGUUUCUGAGAAAAUCUUCAGCUCAGACUUGAGGGUCAACUUUACCAGCUGAAGGAUCUGCAUUUACUGCUCAACCACAUCUAAUUUGAUGUCCUCUGCAGAUUUAAAAUGUGUGCCUUCUUUUCCGUCACCAAGUCAUCCCUGGGUUACUACUGAACAUCCUUCUCAAUUCCCCCCGACCCAUGGAUGGCUGUUCUCCAUUGUCUGUUUCACCAGAUGUCCUCAAAACAAACAGACAGAAGAAGGAAGUGGCUAAUGGAGCUGUGGAGUCCAAGUGUGACUGCCAAGAGGAAUCCAGCAAAGCCAAAAAGCCCAAGCAUGUAGCCCUGCCCGAAGCACGCCACACGCAUGGAAAACCCAGAGGAAAUGAGUGAGGAUCAAUGGGAAGAAGAGAGCCAGCCAGGAAGUUGAAGAUUUGUCCAGGAGCAGAUAGCUGAAGAGAGAGAGAGAGAAGAGAGAACGGCUUACAGCUCAGGUCCUCUCUCCAUGCUUAGGAACCACUACAAAUGCUACUGCCUUGAGUCUCAUUUUGUUUCCCUCUGGAAACCACAUGUGUACCUUGUUUGCAACAGUAUGGUUCUGGAGACCAGAAGGCCAAAAUCAAAAGUAUGGGCAGGCUUGAUUUCUUUAGAAGACUCCAGCGGAGAACUGUGUCUCCUUGCUUCUGAUUCUACAUCUCCAUCCAUGGGCCACUGUUUCAGCAACCUCAGCCAGUGCAACACAACCUCAGCCAAGAAGAGUAUGCAGAGAAAGGAGUCCCCUACCUGCCACAAAACUGUUGUCUGAAAACUGUCUCAUAUUGUCUCAAGUUGUCAUUCAUUGUGAAUUAGACCUGUUUAACAUGUAAUCUGCAACAU